UACGAAGGGGGGCUAGCGUUGCUCGGAAUCACUGGGCGUAAAGCGCACGUAGGCGGAUCGAUCAGUCAGGGGGUGAAAUCCCCGCAGCUCAACUGCGGAACUGCCUUUUGAUACUGUCGGUCUAGAGUAUGGAAGAGGUGAGUGGAAUUCCGAGUGUAGAGGUGAAAAUUCGUAGAUAUUCGGAGGAACACCAGUGGCGAAGGCGGCUCACUG
rnacentral:rRNA from 1 species